rnacentral:rRNA from 1 species
AUGAUAAAGAAUGCACAGAAAAACGGGCUUAUUGUAGGGUUGGCUCCUGACUUGAUCCCCGAUGGGAUCGCGGUAUUGCAGUAUGCAGAUGACACGAUCAUUUGCUUAGAGCAUGAUCUGGAGAAGGCACUGAAUUUAAAACUGCUCAUGUAUACUUUUGAGGUGAUGUCUGGGUUGAAAGUUAACUUCCACAAGAGUGAAAUUUUAACUGUGGGGGGUGAUGAUCAAAUUAAUAAAGCUUACGCAGAUCUCUUCAAUUGUGACAUUGGUCAUUUUCCUCUUAAAUAUCUAGGGAUGCCCGUGAGCUUUACUACUCUUCAAAACUCAGACUGGGAGUUCAUUGUUGACAAAUAUUUGGUCAGGUUUGAUGCUUGGGUUGGUAAUGCGACAUCUAUGGGAGGAAGACACACCCUUUUGGACUCAGUGGUUACUCAGCUAUCUCUUUACCACAUGUCCAUGUGGUUGAUGAAUAAGACGUUUGUGGAAAAAUUAGAUAAACAUAGGAGGAGGUUUUUCUGGCAGGGCGCUAAUAAAAAACCUCGCUACCAUCUGGUGCGUUGGAGCAGAAUCUGUAGGUCCAAGGAUAAAGGUGGACUGGGUAUUAAAGACUUGCGUAAACAAAAUAUCAGCUUAAUGCUUAAAUGGUGGUGGAAAUUAGAUACCCAGCAGGGGAUUUGGCAAGAUAUUGUGAAAGUUCGAUAUCUUAGAAAUCAGACAAUCGCGACUGUCGAGGCCCGUUUUAGUGACUCGCCAUGCUGGAAAAAUCUCCUGAAGAUUAAGGAUCUGUACAUGAUUGGGAGAAAUAUCCAUACGGGAUCGGGCAACCUGACUCGGUUAUGGAAAGAUUCCAUUAACGGGCUGACCCCGUUCAUGGAUCAAUUCCCCCGGCUUUACAAUAUUUGCACUGCUCAGGAUUGCACGCUGGACAAACUGGAAACGGUGGCUUGUGUAGAUUUCUUUCGUAGAAGGUUAAACGAUGAAUUAACUAACCAG